GUGAAUCAAAUGAGGGAGAAACGCUAACGCCCGGUGUGGAUUUAUUGAGAUUUUAAAAAGGCAUCCCUAAGAAAAAUGUUUUGUUUUUAGAUUUGUUUCUGAUUCUUCUGCGGGAUUCCAGUCCAGGUCUUGGAGCCGGCCCUCGAGGGGAAUGUCCGGGACUCGGGUUAACAGGAAGAUCAGGAGGCUGAACUUGGCCUGAUGCUGAACGCCUGAGGGUGAGAAAGGCAGAUAAUUCUAACCAAGUGGGGUGUAAAUGUUACCUUGACCUUGGCUGAUGUAGUCAAAAUGGGCAGUGGGAUGUUUUCUAAAAUUUCUAAGAUUCUUGGAUCUCUUAAAUCAAUUUUUGAAGUUGCCUCAGUUACUGUGAAUUUUCCUUAGGCAUUGUAUGUGAUUUCUUGUGAACUAAGAUAUUUUGGUGGUUUAGUAUGCUUUUAACCAGUUUGAAUUUCCACUGUUUUCUAUGAGAGGAGAACACAUGAAAUGAAUACCUCUGAGGGGGGAAUUCAGCUCUCUGCUGACUGGCAGUUUCAGAGUUAUGUAAUCUUUAACAGACUCCCAGAGAACACCAUGCCCCCUCUGGCUUUGGUGAAACCGCUCAUUAAAGCUAACAUAUGUGGUUUCUGAUUAAAGCACUUCCUGUUCCUUUAAUUUGAGACUGUGAGGUAAAACACUUUCCUUCCAAAGUUAGUAGAUGAACAUAUUUUACUGCUCCUUUGGGGGAGUUAGCAGUAGAGAAUUAACAUAUAUUAAACACUUCUUUGGGGAGUUGACCAGCAAGAUCUCAUUUAGCCUUCAUAGUAGCUUCCGAGGUAGACAUAGUAAGGCUAAUUUCAUAGGUGAGGAAAUUGAGGCUCAGAGGGAUUGAGCAAUUGGUUCAAGAUCCCCUAGGUGGUAAGUGGCAGAGGAUGGAUUUGAAUCUGAGGGGGUUGUCUCUGUAGCUAGUACCUUGCCACCAGGCCACUGGGAUAUUAGCAGAGUGCUGUGGGGAGAGGUCAACCUCUUUCCAGGGCUCUGAUUUCCCCAGGGUCCUUCCCUUUCUCUAGCUCACACCUGGCUACCCCUACUUCCUGUUCAGAUUUAACUGAUAAAGCUUUAACUGAUAGCCACAUAAGCCUUUAUAUUUUACGAGGACCACAGGAAAAUCUUUCAUACCUACAAGAGUAGAGCUAUCUGGUGGAACUGAUGAGAAUGGUUGGGCUAGUGGAUGUGAGGCGCCAUUUUUGGACACAACACUUGAGAUUAAAAAGAAAGGGAAAUCCCACCCUUUGUUACCCUUGCUCCUCACAGGACGUUUCCUUCUGUGCUAGAGAGCUAAGGCUUGAAAGAGCAUUGCUAGUCAAAGCUCUGGUGACCAGCCCACUGCCAUUGCUUCUGAAGAGGAACUGUGGGCACCGCACAAACCCAUUCACCUGCUCUCAACCAUCCCUGCUAAUGCAGAGCUAGUUAAGUACCUGCAUUACCUUGUUUCAGAUGUAGCCCCCAGGAUAGAAAUCUGCAUGUUUUCUAUCUGUUGAUUCUUUAACAAUUUCAUAUGAUCUUUUUCUAGUUUGCAUUUCCUAUAGGCUGUGUAGUAUGAGUGGAGUAAUUAAUCUACUUGGUUAGAAAAUAAAAUGCUCUGAUGAGUUAAGGAAGAAUUUUGAUAGCUGUCUUUUAAAGCAGUUCUUCUCAAACUUUAAUAUGCAUGAGAAUUAUCUGGAGAUCUUGUUGAACUACAGAUUCUGUGUUAGUAGGGCUAAGGCGGAGCUUAUCAUUCUGCAUAUUUAAUAAGUUCCCAUGUGAUAAUAGGCUGGCCCCAGGUCCACACUUUGAGUAGCAAAAUUUUAAGGCUCCUUAAAUUCUAGUUCACAAGAACAAUUAUGGAGCUUUUCUUUAAGAUCUGUAUAUGUCAUUGUACCAUGUAGAAAAGUAAAUUCUGCCAUGGUUAUGUUAAACAGCAGUGGUAGUGCUAUAUUAUUUACAUGAUACCAAAUAUCUGAAUUAAACUUUUCAAAAUUUUGUCAGUCA